CGGGAGGCAGCAGUGAGGAAUAUUGGUCAAUGGGCGCAAGCCUGAACCAGCCAUGCCGCGUGAAGGAUGAAGGUUCUAUGGAUUGUAAACUUCUUUUAUUUGGGAAUAAACCUCGAGACGUGUCUCGAGCUGAAGGUACCAAAUGAAUAAGCACCGGCUAACUCCGUGCCAGCAGCCGCGGUAAUACGGAGGGUGCAAGCGUUAUCCGGAAUCAUUGGGUUUAAAGGGUCCGCAGGCGGAUUUAUAAGUCAGUGGUGAAAUCCUACAGCUCAACUGUAGAACUGCCAUUGAUACUGUAAGUCUUGAAUUCGGUCGAAGUGGGCGGAAUAUGACAUGUAGCGGUGAAAUGCUUAGAUAUGUCAUAGAACACCGAUAGCGAAGGCAGCUCACUAGGCCUGGAUUGACGCUCAGGGACGAAAGCGUGGGGAGCAAACAGGAUUAGAUACCCCUGU
rnacentral:rRNA from 1 species